UACGUAGGCAGCGAGCGUUGUUUGGAGUUACUGGGCGUAAAGAGUGCGUAGGCGGUUUUCUAAGUUUGGUGUGAAAUCUCCCGGCUCAACUGGGAGGGUGCGCCGAAGACUGGAAGGCUUGAGUAUGGGAGAGGUAAGCGGAAUUCCUGGUGUAGCGGUGAAAUGCGUAGAUAUCAGGAGGAACACCUGCGGUGUAGACGGCUUACUGGACCAUAACUGACGCUGAGGCACGAAAGCGUGGGUAGCAAACAGG
rnacentral:rRNA from 1 species